rnacentral:rRNA from 1 species
GACGAACGCUGGCGGCGUGCUUAACACAUGCAAGUCGAACGGAAAGGCCCUGCUUGCAGGGUACUCGAGUGGCGAACGGGUGAGUAACACGUGGGUGAUCUGCCCUGCACUUCGGGAUAAGCCUGGGAAACUGGGUCUAAUACCGGAUAGGAGCCAUUUUUAGUGUGAUGGUUGGAAAGUUUUUUCGGUGUAGGAUGAGCUCGCGGCCUAUCAGCUUGUUGGUGGGGUAAUGGCCUACCAAGGCGGCGACGGGUAGCCGGCCUGAGAGGGUGGACGGCCACAUUGGGACUGAGAUGCGGCCCAGACUCAUACGGGGGGCAGGAGUGGGGAAUAAUGCACGAUGGGCGAAAGCCUGAUGCAGCGACGCCGCGUGGGGGAUGACGGCCUUCGGGUUGUAAACUCCUUUCGCUAGGGACGAAGCUUUUGUGACGGUACCUAGAUAAGAAGCACCGGCUAACUACGUG